rnacentral:rRNA from 1 species
CCAGCAGCCGCGGUAAUUCCAGCUCCAAUAGCGUAUAUUAAAGUUGCUGCAGUUAAAAAGCUCGUAGUUGGAUCUUGGGAGCGGGCGGGCGGUCCGCCGCGAGGCGAGCCACCGCCCGUCCCCGCCCCUUGCCUCUCGGCGCCCCCUCGAUGCUCUUAGCUGAGUGUCCCGCGGGGCCCGAAGCGUUUACUUUGAAAAAAUUAGAGUGUUCAAAGCAGGCCCGAGCCGCCUGGAUACCGCAGCUAGGAAUAAUGGAAUAGGACCGCGGUUCUAUUUUGUUGGUUUUCGGAACUGAGGCCAUGAUUAAGAGGGACGGCCGGGGGCAUUCGUAUUGCGCCGCUAGA